GACGAACGCUGGCGGCGUGCCUAAUACAUGCAAGUCGAGCGAAGCGGCGGAUGGGUGAGUAACGCGUGGGUCACCUGCCCUUAAGUCUGGGCUCCCAUUUGGAAACAUAUGCUAAUACCGGAUACUAAAGGAUGGACCUGCGAUGCAUUAGCUAGUUGGUAAGGUAACGGCUUACCAAGGCGAUGAUGCAGAGCCGGGUUGAGAGACUGAUCGGCCACAUUGGGACUGAGACACGGCCCAAACUCCUACGGGAGGCAGCAGUAGGGAAUCUUCCACAAGGGACGAAAGUCUGAUGGAGCAAUGCCGCGUGAGUGAAGAAGGUUUUCGGAUCGUAAAGCUCUGUUGUUGGUGAAGCGGUAAUCAACCAGAAAGUCACGGCUAACUACGUGCCAGCAGCCGCGGUAAUUC
rnacentral:rRNA from 1 species